CAGCAGCCGCGGUAAUACGAGGGGGGCAAGCGUUGUUCGGAAUUAUUGGGCGUAAAGGGUGCGUAGGCGGUUUGGCAAGUUUGGUGUGAAAUCUUCGGGCUCAACUCGAAGUCUGCAUCGAAAACUGCCGGGCUUGAGUAUGGGAGAGGUGAGUGGAAUUUCCGGUGUAGCGGUGAAAUGCGUAGAUAUCGGAAGGAACACCUGUGGCGAAAGCGGCUCACUGGACCAUAACUGACGCUGAUGCACGAAAGCUAGGGGAGCAAACAGGAUUAGAUACCCCCGUAGUCCCUGUCUCUUAUAC
rnacentral:rRNA from 1 species